CCACAAUGGAAAACAGUAUGGGUUUUCCUCAAAAAAUUAAAAAUAGAAGUGCCCUAUGAUCCAUGAAUUUCACUUCUGGGUAUUUACCCAAAGAAAAUAAAAGUGCUAAUUCAAAAAGAUAUAUGCACAUCAAUGUUCACUGUUGCAUUAUUUACAAUAGCCAUGUUAUGACAGCAAUCUAAGUGUCCAUCAAUAGAUGAAUGAACAAAUUAUAUAUAUAUAUGUUAUAUAUAUAUAAUUCAGCCAUAAAAAUGAAAUCUUACCAUUUGCUACAAAGUGGAUGGAUCUAGAAGGUAUUAUGAUAAGUGAAAUAAGUCAGAGGAAGACAAAUACCAUAUGAUCUCACUUAUAUGUGGACUCUAAAAAACAAAGAAACAAAACAAAAUGACAACAAAUAGAUACACAGAAAAAAUAUGUUCUUGUCAGAGGAGAGGAGUUUGGUGAGGGCAAAAUAGGCAAAGUGAAUUUAGAGGUGCAAACCUCCAGUUAUAAAAUAAAUAAGGCACAGGGAUAUAAUAUACAGCAUAAGGAAUAUGGUCAAUAAUAUUGUAAUAACUUUGUAUCAUGAGUAGAUGAUUGCUAGACUUGUCAUGGUGAUCAUUUUGUAAUGUAUGAAAAUGUCAAAUCACCAUGUAAUACACCUGAAACUAACAUAGUAUUUACAACAACUAUAUUUCCAUUUUAAAAAGAAGAGAGGCAAAGAAUUUUAACCCAAACCUGAUUUAAGCUCUCAGUGUUUCCAUACUUGGUGGGUACUUAAUUCUAUUGUUUAGUCUUUUUUGAAAGUCAAAACUAUCCCCCUUGCUGUAAUUCUGUAAUCUACAGCUCACCUCAAUUGAAAUAAACAGUCUGUAAAAUGAAAUAUUUACUUACCCUUUUAUUUCUCAGCACAAAGAUUUCUCAUAGGAAGAGUCCAUUCGAUUUUCUUAUUUAUCUAUAUCAAUACCGUAAGAGGGGUUCUUUAAUAUGCUAUUGUUUAAAUAUGACAAAAUGAUUUUUCUGUUUUUUUUUUUUUUCUGUAUAACAAAUACCCCAAACCCUAAUGGCUUAAAAUAACAAGUGUUUUAUUAUAUCUGUCUCACCAAUUUGUAGAUAGGAACUUAGGCAGUGCUCAGUUGAGCAAUCUGUCACCACAUGUUAUUAACUCACAGACACUCUGGUCUGGAAGAUCCAAGAUGACUUCAUUCACAUGUCUGCCACUGAGGUGGGGAUGGACGGAAGGCUGGCUCUCUUCGGGCUAUAGACCAGCGUACCUACACGUACUUUUUUCAGUACAGCCAUCUCAGGAUAAACUAGAAUUUGGUCAUGGCUGUUUCAGGCUUUCAAAAAGGGUGUUCCAAGAUAAAGGAAAUGGAAGCAAUUGGCCUUUUAAAGCGUGGGACCAGAAGCUGUAUUUCAUUGGCCAGAGAGUCACAAAGCCCUCUGAAUUUUAGGUGGAAUUGACAUGAGCCCACCUCUAAAUGGAAGGAGAGUCAAAGAAUGUGCAACCAUCUUUAACCUUCCACAGUGCUAAAUGUAGAAGUCUAUGGGAAUGUGCACAGAAUUAUACACAAUAAACGGCAGCAUAUACUUUCAGUUCCUUCCUCUUAAAGAAUAAACACUGAUUUGGUUGGCCUAGUGCCCUCUUCUUGCACUGUGAAAUUUUGCAGAUUUUUCUGCCCUAUGUGGUACCUAACAAGUUUCAUACCUAUUUGUUAUAGUAUGCUGCCUUUGUAUUGCUAUGUCUUUAGUUUUUGCAGAAAAUUUAAUUACCCUUUAUAUGUCUUCAACAUUCACUUUAUUUACCACCUUUAUUAUUCUCAUUCUGAAGAAAUUUUGUUACUCUCCAAUAUUAUCUGUGCAGUGCUGGCUUCCAGCUUCAAAUUCCUGGGAAUGGUGCUUUUAUUCCUUUUUAUUUGAGCUCUUUAAGCUUUGUGCUACAUACUUUGUUUUGUGUUUGUGUUUCAAGUUUUAUUUUGUAGAAUAGUUUCAGUUUUAUAACAAAACUGAGAUAGAGGUACAGAAAUUUCACAUAUACCUCCUGCCCCCACAAAUACAUAGUCUCUCACAUUGUCAACAUCACUCACCUGAAUGAUCCUUUUUUUUUUUUUAACCAAGAAUGAACCUACAUACCUACAUUGACACAUCAUAAUCACCCAAAGUCCAUAGUUCAUGUUAGGAUUUACUCUUGGUAUUGUACAUUUUAUAGGUUUGGACUAGUGUAUAAUAACAUAUAACCAUCAUUAUAAUAUCAUACAGAGUAUUUUGACUGCUUUAAAAAUUCUCUAUGCUCUGUCUGAUUAUCACUCCCCAUAACUAGAAACCACUGACUUUUUAAUGAUCUCCUUAGUUUUAUCUUCUCUGAAGUGUCACAUCUUAUUUUAUUUUGUUGACUCUCUGACAGCCGUGUCUGUGGAGAUUAGAGAUGUUGAAUGCUGUUUACUCUAGCAAAGGAGUUCUCAGUCUCAACAUUCUUAACAUUUUGGGCCAGAUAAGAUAUUUGUGGAGCACUGUCUUGUGCAUUGGAAGAUGUUUAGCUGAGUCCCUGGCCUCUACACGGUAGAUGUGAGAAGCACUUGCCUCUCCCAUUGUGUCAGUUGUGUUUAGACAUUGCCAGAUGUGCCCAGGGGCACAAUUACCCCUUGUUUAAAGCCAUUGUUUCAGCAGGGAUAGUAACUCCUUAAUUAAAAUUCAAGACAAAAAAGGUAAUUCUACCACUGGAGGGAAGUACAGAACUCAUGUAAUCCUCUGAGACAGGAAAGCAGAAGCUUCACUGUUUAACUUAUUAAGACCAGAGUCAUCUGUACUGUGUCACCACUCUGUACCCGAUCUGAUUUCUGGAGUCCAUUCUUGACCCAUAGCCCCAGAUAAGAUUACAUGUAAUCUCUUAUUCACAGCCACCCUAUUGAGUGGUCUCCUAAUGCCCUAGAACCUGAGUAAUGUCUCUUAGAUCAUGAUUGCUUCAUGUUUCUGUUCACUUCAAAGAUAGCUAUCCAGUAGAAACUUCCAUCAAAUCUCAUUCAUUGGAUAGAAGAUACAAAACAGAGUAUUAAACAUAAAUAAAUACAUAUAACUGGACUCCCAUGAAUCAAAUGAAUUUUCUCCUCUCCCUUUCCAACUUCCUUUGACCAAUCACAAAGGUUAUAAGAUAAACAUCUCCAUUUACUUCUCAACAAAUCACAGGCAAGGAGAUAAUUGAUUUGACAGAAUCUUACAAAAUUAAAAAAAAAAAAGUACUAACAGUAUCCAGUUCUGACCAAGCUGGAGUUAGCCCAUAAAGUGUAUUUCCCUUGAUUAAAAUGAAAAACCCUCUAUAAAUUAGAAAAAAAGAAACUACCUGAGGACACUGAAAGAAAUGAAGGAAGAUGAAUUAUACAUAGGAGGCAAAAGUUGGAGAUGGAAUCUGUUUUAGGUGAUUUUUUAAUCUCUUCUCACUUGAAUGUAAUGGAGGGCCCUAGUCAUGGAUAUGUAUGGAAGCAAAAACACUGAUAAAAACUCUAUCUUCCUGUCCAAGUGACCUGGGCAAAGGGACUUUUAUGGUCCAAAGAGCUGGAAGGAAAUCACGUUAAUUUUUUUUUUUUUCUCCUAAUGUUCCACAGAAGACAGGACCCAGUAGUAAAGGCAUGGAAAUGACAGCCUAGGAAACUAAAGUUUGAGUGAAACCUGGUCAAAAGAACUGGAGAAAGGGUUUCAACAGGCUGGGCAAUAUAUGGGAGCAUUCUAGUACAGAGAAAGUGGAAGAAGGAGGUCAACAAAUUCUGCACAGGAACCUAUUAUAGUCCCUAGACUCACUCAACUAUAUAUAUACAAGACAAACCAAAUCAGCAUGACAGGGGCUGUCAGAACUUAACUAAGAUUUAUCUCACCAUCCAAGCUUCAGGUUAAGCCACGAGUGGCCUAUAUGUGGGGAGAUCAAGACAAGAGAACAAAGAGUUUACAAAACAGAACCGAGAUUAGAACCUCUCUUCCCAUAAGGUAGGACAUGACUUGCAGUCUGAACUUAAAAUAAAACAAAAACUACACAAAAACGAAAACAGCAAAAUGACAUUUUGGGGAAGAUUUUAACAGGACUGAUGAUCUAUACAACAUUAUAUUUAAAAUUACUACAAUAGGGAGUUCCCAUUAUGGCUCAGCAUAAAUGAAUCUGACUGGUAUCCAUGAGGAUGCGGUUUCAAUCUCUGGCCUCGAUCAGUGGGUCAGGGAUUUGGCAUCACCAUGAGCUGUGGUGUAGGUUGCAGAUGCAGCUUGGAUCCCACGUUGCUGUGGCUGUGGCAUAGGCUGGCAGCUGUAGAUCUGACUGACCCCUAGCCUGGGAAUUUCAGUAUGCUGCGAAUGCAACACUAAAAAAAGCAAAGCAAAACAAAAUAAAAACAAAAAACAACCUUAAAAUAAAUCCAAAAUUAUUCGAAAUGUAAAAAUAACAGAGAUCGAUCUCCCAUUCUCCUUGAAUAUCUUGGUAUUCUUGGUAUUGGUAUUGGUCUGGAAUAGAUAAUAUAUGAAGCAAAUGUACAAGUCAAAUGGAGAAUUCUUAAGGUCUUUGAAUCAUUUUGGUGUGAACCUGAGUUUUGCUGUUUAGCAUUUAUGUACA
rnacentral:lncRNA from 1 species